ensembl:lncRNA
GACGACUCUCUAACAGCCUACUGCACAUCACCAGCUCCAGACAGCGCCCCCGGUGGGCCUUUAGGGUACUGCAUCAGGAGAGGCGGACACCGAAAAGCACGUCGUUUCACGCGCUACUAGUGAACGCCGCGCGAGGGUCCAAAAGGCAGCAUCGCUCCAUCCAGAGUAUCGAGGGGGGAAAUAACGGACAGCUCGAUCUCCCCACGAUCCGACCGGGCGUGACGGCAUCACCUCAUCGGCGAGCAGCAGCGCGCGCCAGGAGCCCGCAGCAGCUCGAGGAGAAGAGAGGCGCGAGGAGGGGCGGCGACGAGAGACACCGAGAAAUAAACAACCGCGGACGGCGAGGCGCGAGCGUUCUGUGGAAGACCCCCGCGGUGUGGACAGCGAACGGGACCUUCUACUGAUAUGGCUGAGGUGUCACAAGAGGAGAGAAUCCAGGCCAUCUCUGAGAAGAGGAAGAAGCAGACAGAGAUUGAAAACAAGAGGAGGCAGCUCGAUGACGACCGACGGCAGCUCCAACAUCUCAAGGAGCAAUGCCUGCAAUCCUGAGAGGUUGAGCGAGAGAAGAGAGACCUAAUGAACAGAUGAUGAUGAUGAGGAAAAGGUGAGGAAGACUCGAGAUGGAACACAAGG